CGGACUGUAGCGCAGCCUGGUAGCGCACUUGUCUGGGGGACAAGGGGUCGUGGGUUCAAAUCCCGCCAGUCCGACCA
rnacentral:tRNA from 3 species